AGCGCGCGCCCUGUAGUUUUGAAGCAGGGCGAGACAACUUUAGCUAGGAGCCUCUUUUCCUUCUGCCCAGCUCCCCGAAAUAAACAGGAGAGAAAAGAAAGAAAGCCCCAACCUCUUCCUUCCUAUACUCAGAGUCAUCUUCAAAGGUAUCCCAACACCGGCCCCAUCUCUUAGUCAAUCCGCUACGCACCUUAAGCGCU
rnacentral:lncRNA from 1 species